GUUAUAGCGACAGAAAGUGGACUGUG
rnacentral:piRNA from 1 species